AGUGAACGCUGGCGGUAGGCCUAACACAUGCAGGUCGAACGGCAGCACAGUAAGCGCUUGCUCUUACGGGUGGCGAGUGGCGGACGGGUGAGGCAUACAUCGGAAUCUACUUUUUCGUGGGGGAUAACGUAGGGAAACUUACGCUAAUACCGCAUACGACCUACGGGUGAAAUCAGGGGAUCUUCGGACCUUUCGCGAUUGAAUGAGCCGAUGUCGGAUUAGCUAGUUGGCGGGGUAAAGGCCCACCAAGGCGACGAUCCGUAGCUGGUCUGAGAGGAUGAUCAGCCACACUGGAACUGAGACACAGUCCAGACUCCUACGGGAGGCAGCAGUGGGGAAUAUUGCACAAUGGGCGCAAGCCUGAUCCAGCCAUACCGCGUGGGUGAAGAAGGCCUUCGGGUUGUAAAGCCCUUUUGUUGGGAAAGAAAAGCAGCAGGUUAAUACCCGGAUGUUCUGACGGUACCCAAAGAAUAAGCACCGGCUAACUUCGUG
rnacentral:rRNA from 1 species